AGUUACUUCAUUGUGAAAUUUUUUGGCGUCCGAGUUGGUUCGUUCUUGUGUACAAAAAGAUUUGCGGGUGAAAAUACCGUCAGUAAGUCGACCGGAGGAAAGGCUCCCCGUAAGCAGCUGGCCACCAAGGCUGCCCGCAUAUCGGCGCCCAUCCACUGGUGGAGUGAAGAAGCCGGAAUUGUGGCCCUACGUGAGAUCCGUCGUUACCAGAAGUCGACCGAGUCGCUCAUCCGCAAGCUCCUCUUCCUGCGAGUGGCUCGUGAAAAUGUCAAGGACUUUAAGACUGAAUUGCGUUUUCAGUCGGCGUCCUUUGGAGCCCUUCAGGAAGCUUUUGAGGCGUAUCUAUGGGUCUAUUCGGAGGUACUAACUUGUGCGCCAUCCACGCCAAGUGCAUAACCGUUAUGCCCAAGGACAUCCGGAUGGCGCACAAGUUGGUAUCUUCGAAUAGAGCCACUAGCAACUCCUCAGAAGCUUCCUGAAGGUCUCCAAUGGCCGCCGAUUGGAAACGCAAGUCAUACGCAAGUCUGUAGCUUGUGUAGUUCACAAGUUACGGGCAUACGUUUAAUUUUUAACGGAGCCUCGGUUUUCGAAAAGUGGUGUCAUUCGACGUUUAUUUUCAUUAAGUCGAACCCGAGCCGAGUGGAGUCAAGUCGAAUCGAAUCGAGUUGGAGACCACCCAGGUAACGAUUUGUGCAGUCAUUCCACGAAUUCCCAGCUGAGGGGGCGUCGCGUCUGUUCUUCGUGGACUUUUGUGGCGAAUUCUGCAGACGGGGAGUGCUGGGGGCAUUUCACAUUUCACCAGUCCCAAGUAUGCUAAGGAUGGCCCACGGUACCCGCCUGUGACCAUUGUCAAAGUCCAAAUUAUGCAUGCGUCUCAGAGAUAUAUUUUCGCCAAGUGCACUGCGAGAAGCAGAGCUGAAAGCCUGACAGGACCACACACGAAGCUGGAAAAACCACACACCGUCGAGGGGGCGGGGGCAGACUGCUCAGUUCCCCAGUUCCUCAGUUGAUGAUGUCGGUUGCCGGUCGCCAGUUGCCGUUGGUCGGGGCGGUUGAUUACAUGAACAAACGAACCGAACGAUCCGAGCCAGGCUCCAGACCCGGUCCGGUCCCCCAGAUCGCAGACCCAACCGCAAAAGCCGACGCCAAGAUAACGAGUUAACCCAAACCCAAGCCCAAACCGCAGGCACCGGGAUGUGUGGGGAAAAGGGGCCCAGGGAACCACACACGCCAUGUCGCUGGGGAUUCGGAAUCGCGGGCCUACGUAUUACCGGUGGCAAAUAGUAAUUAUUACAUUAAAUGCACCGCAAUAAUGCAGCAGCGACGUCAACAUUUAGCCAUAAAAAUUGCUUGCACUCCGCGACUGCAAAUGCAGUUAAACUUUAAGUGGCGGAGCGAGAAGUGCACCUAAAACAAUUUCGUGUUCUUCUGAAAGACUAAUUAGCAAAUUAAAAUAUUGUAUGAAAUAAAUAUUUACUUUACUACAUCUU